rnacentral:tRNA from 1 species
GGGCCCGUAGCCUAGCCUGGACAGGGUGCCGGCCUCCGGAGCCGGAGAUCCCGGGUUCAAAUCCCGGCGGGCCCGCCA